GAUGAACGCUAGCGGCAGGCUUAAUACAUGCAAGUCGUGGGGCAGCAGGGGCGUAGCAAUACGCUCGCUGGCGACCGGCAAACGGGUGCGGAACACGUACACAACCUUCCUUUAAGUGGGGAAUAGCCCGGGGAAACCCGGAUUAAUACCCCGUAACAUAAUGAAGUGGCAUCGCUUUAUUAUUAUAGCUCCGGCGCUUGAAGAUGGGUGUGCGACUGAUUAGGCAGUUGGCGGGGUAACGGCCCACCAAACCUACGAUCAGUAACUGGUGUGCGAGAGCGACCAGUCACACGGGCACUGAGACACGGGCCCGACUCCUACGGGAGGCAGCAGUAAGGAAUAUUGGUCAAUGGACGCAAGUCUGAACCAGCCAUUCCGCGUGGAGGAUGAAGGUCCUCUGGAUUGUAAACUUCUUUUAUCUGGGAAGAAAUCCAUGAAUUCUUUUGUGGUUGACGGUACCAGAUGAAUAAGCACCGGCUAACUCCGUGCCAGCAGCCGCCGUAA
rnacentral:rRNA from 1 species